CGUGGAAUUUUUUGCAAACUAGGGUUCAAAGCAUGUUAGUUUUUGCACGUGGGUUACAAAUAUCAUUAUAUGUGCUGUUAAAAUUUUUGCCAUGUAUUAUUGCAGCUUUUAUGUGCAUGUGGCUCAUUAGUAGUCUAAUACGUGGAUUUUAAACGAAUGAAGGACCGACGCGUAUUCAUGGGUCGUGACACAUAGAUUCAACGUGCUGGCUGUCACGUCACUUUGGAGGUCGAGUUUUAAUUUUGCACGGUCUUGGGCCUGGGUCAAUGGUCUGACACCGUAACAUGGGCUGGACCAGGCCCAAUUGCCAAGUUUUUAUGAGAAUUUUCUUAUCAGACGCGUAGCUUUGGCGGGCUUGUUGGGACGACACGCCUAGCUGUCGAUGUUUUAGACAAACGAAUGGGAAAGCUAUUACCUUGCAUGAAGCUUCGCAUGGAUGUCUUUUUAUGGUCGUCCCCAUCUUUAAACCAUGCUUGCUUUUGUAAUUUGUUACAUCUGUUUAGGUUUCAUUCUCUUUCUUUUUUAAAAUUAUACGUUAAAGUAAAUACAUAUUUGUCUUUUUAAAAAUCAAUAAAUUACAUGAAAAUUGUAUAA